CUGGGCUUCCCUCAGCCGCUCCACUGCUGAGGGGAUAUGCUAAGGUUGCGACUCUAACCAUAUCUGAGCGUAAUGAGUUUAUAAUCACAGCUCUAACUCAGGAUAUUGAUUUCAUAUGCACUGGGAAAGUGACAAGCAGCAAGAUAGAGAAAAUGAUGAUGUUCUGUUGCUUGCUCUGAUUGUACCAAAAAAAAACUGCAGCGCGCCGUUGUCGACAUGGAAGGGAAAACAUGGAAGGAAAAACAUUCACCUUUCAGGUCAGGGGAGGCGACAACAACAAUGGACCUGCAGGUGAUGACACAGUCGUUGCUAAGGUUGAAACUGGUGGAAGUAGUGAGCAGUCAGCAUCAAAUACG